AUUGAACGCUGGCGGCAUGCCUUACACAUGCAAGUCGAACGGCAGCACGGGUGCUUGCACCUGGUGGCGAGUGGCGGACGGGUGAGUAAUAUAUCGGAACGUGCCCUAGAGUGGGGGAUAACGUAGCGAAAGUUACGCUAAUACCGCAUACGAUCUACGGAUGAAAGUGGGGGAUCGCAAGACCUCAUGCUCCUGGAGCGGCCGAUAUCUGAUUAGCUAGUUGGUGGGGUAAAAGCCUACCAAGGCGACGAUCAGUAGCUGGUCUGAGAGGACGACCAGCCACACUGGGACUGAGACACGGCCCAGACUCCUACGGGAGGCAGCAGUGGGGAAUUUUGGACAAUGGGGGAAACCCUGAUCCAGCAAUGCCGCGUGUGUGAAGAAGGCCUUCGGGUUGUAAAGCACUUUUGUCAGGAACGAAACGGUGGGGGCUAAUACCUCCUGCUAAUGACGGUACCUGAAGAAUAAGCACCGGCUAACUACGUGCCAGCCGCCGUAAAAC
rnacentral:rRNA from 1 species